GGAGGCGAACCAGGGGAACUGAAACAUCUCAGUACCCCGAGGAAAAGAAAUCAACCGAGAUUCCCCCAGUAGCGGCGAGCGGACGGGGAGCAGCCCAGAGUCAGCAUCAAUAUUUACCGCAGGAGAAGGGUCUGGAAAGGCCGGCAAUAAAGGGUGAUAGCCCCGUAUCUGAAGCGGUAAGUGUUGUGAACUCGAAGAGUAGGGCGGGACACGUGUUAUCCUGUCUGAAUAUGGGGGGAUCAUCCUCCAAGGCUAAAUACUCCUGACUGACCAAUAGUGAACCAGUACCGCGAGGGAAAGGCGAAAAGAACCCCGGCAAGGGGAGUGAAAUAGAACCUGAAACCGUGUACGUACAAGCAGUGGGAGCACCCGAAAGGGUGUGACUGCGUACCUUUUGUAUAAUGGGUCAGCGACUUAUAUUCUGUAGCAAGGUUAACCGCAUAAGGGAACCGUAGGGAAACCGAGUCUUAACUGGGCGUUAAGUUGUAGGGUAUAGACCCGAAACCCGGUGAUCUAGCCAUGGGCAAGUUGAAG
rnacentral:rRNA from 2 species